rnacentral:rRNA from 1 species
UACGUAGGGUGCAAGCGUUAAUCGGAAUUACUGGGCGUAAAGCGUGCGCAGGCGGUUUUGUAAGUCUGACGUGAAAUCCCCGGGCUCAACCUGGGAAUUGCGUUGGAGACUGCAAGGCUAGAAUCUGGCAGAGGGGGGUAGAAUUCCACGUGUAGCAGUGAAAUGCGUAGAGAUGUGGAGGAACACCGAUGGCGAAGGCAGUCCCCUGGGUCAAGAUUGACGCUCAUGCACGAAAGCGUGGGGAGCAAACAGG